rnacentral:rRNA from 1 species
UACGAAGGGGGCUAGCGUUGUUCGGAAUUACUGGGCGUAAAGCGAACGUAGGCGGUGUUCCAUGUCAGAGGUGAAAGCCUGGGGCUCAACUCCAGAAUUGCCUUUGAAACGGGGACGCUUGAGUCCGAGAGAGGGUGGCGGAAUUCCUAGUGUAGAGGUGAAAUUCGUAGAUAUUAGGAAGAACACCAGUGGCGAAGGCGGCCACCUGGCUCGGUACUGACGCUCAGGGGCGAAAGCGUGGGGAGCAAACCGG